rnacentral:lncRNA from 1 species
UGAAUUGCGCUUCGACCCCAAAGACGAACAAGUGAUCAUUAAGACCGCUGUAGAUCUUCAAAAAAAUGGAGAAUAUGCUAUCGAAAUUACCAAAUUCAGGGGAAAUUUAAACGAAAAAUUAGAGGGCUUUUAUAAGAGUUCUUAUAAAAAUAAAGCCGGCAAAAUAAGGUGAGUUUUAGUAAGUUUUUUUUGUGACAGCAAUAUUCUAAUUGAAGACGGCGGGUACUCAAAGACUUAUGUAAACAUUAAUUUAUACCUGUGUGUAGUCAUGUCAAUAUACCAGUUUUAUAUCAAUAUUUCUGUACUUUUUAUGCCGAAUAUUUGCGGUGUUUUUUUGCAAAUGCGUACCUGUGAACAAGUUACAAAUUAAACCAAAUUUUAACCUAAUUUGUUAUUCUUAUAUUUCCAAAGUGUCUUUCAACAACCCACGGUUAUUUUAAUAUUUUAAUACAGAAUGACAAUAUUUGAUAUCCGAACUCGGUGUUGCAGCUUUUGCUUACUAGGC